ACGGCGGCAAGACAUGUUUAUUUUCUUCUCUUGGGUUAGUCUGUUAAGACAUUUGAACGAUGUGUGUCCACGACGGGGUCUCGAAUCCUCAAAGGAGGGGGCAAUGCCACGAUCAACCCAGAAGGUCCAGGAAGAGGAGGCAGGAAAGGAAACAGAUGGCCGGGUGCCUCGUGAGGGCCCGGGCUGCCUCAACCCCACACGCCGGGGCCCUGGAAACUCGUGUGUCACAUCAAUCGAUCAGGUCCAGCCCCAGGCCUGCGACAGCAGACGCGGCCGAGACUACGGCCCGGGGUCGGCUGGGCUGAGCCCCCGCCAGAGUCGCCCCAAGGAAAAAAAAAUAUCCUCAAAGGGUAACAUUUCAUCAAUGUGCCAGAGGCGAAAUAAAAAACGGCAGAAGCACUAAAUGGCAUCAAAAUUGUUGAGUUCAACAACUGUUUUGAACAGUGGAAAAAACACCUAGGUGUAUUGCAUCAAAUGAAGGGUACUUUGAAGGUGACUGAAGUUUAAACACGUAACAGUAA